rnacentral:rRNA from 1 species
ACUGUGUGCUGCUUGCAGUGUGCAGUGACUUGCAACAUUAGCACAGGGUCGCAAGAUCUCUGAUGUUUACGCUUGUUUGUUUGACAGAGUUAGUUCAGAAUAAAUAUAGACAACUUUUAACAAUGGAUCUCUUGGCUCUUGCAACGAUGAAGAACGCAGUAAAGUGCGAUAUGUAGUGCGAUUUGCAUGAAUCUGUGAGUCAUCUAAUCUCUGAACGCAACUUGCGCCUUUUACGAGGCAUGUUUGUUUGAGUGUCGCAAUCUUCUGCAGCAAUGCGAUUUGACACGUGUCUUUGUUGACCGAGUUUAAACAGAGCUAGAGGAUGGUCAGUUUGGACUAGUCCGAGUGCUAAGCAUUCUUGGGUCUAGGACGGAUUGGCUGUUAAAUCUAACUUUUUUUAUUUGGCCUCAAAUCAAGCAAGACUACCCGCUGAACUUAAGCAUAUCAGUAAGCGGAGGAAAAGAAACUAACAAGGAUUCCCCUAGUAACGGCGAGUGAAGCGGGAAUAGCUCAAAUUUAAAAUCUCGGCGCUUUUGCGUCGCGAAUUGUAGUCUAAAGAGGGUUAUCUAUGGUUGGCGGUGUGCUCAAGUUCCUUGGAAUAGGACGCCAGAGAGGGUGAGAGCCCCGUAAAAGCACAUUGCUGGCCUCAAGUGAGAACCUCUCAACGAGUCGAGUUGUUUGGGAAUGCAGCUCAAAGUAGGUGGUAAAUCUCAUCUAAGGCUAAAUACUGGCAAGAGACCGAUAGCGAACAAGUACCGUGAGGGAAAGAUGAAAAGCACCUUGAAAAGGGAGUUAAAUAGUGCGUGAAAUUGUU